rnacentral:rRNA from 1 species
CAUUACAAUUCAGUAGCUUGCUACUGUCAGAAGGCGCGAUAAGCCCGUAUAGUUUAAUUACUGAUGAGCGGCAGCCCUUUUGUUUGUACCCUUGUCUUUUGCGCACUCAUGUUUCCUCGGCGGGUCUGCCCGCCGAUUGGACAAAACUAUAACCUUUUUUAUUUUCAAUCAGCGUCUGAAAACAAUUAAUAAUUACAACUUUCAACAACGGAUCUCUUGGUUCUGGCAUCGAUGAAGAACGCAGCGAAAUGCGAUAAGUAGUGUGAAUUGCAGAAUUCAGUGAAUCAUCGAAUCUUUGAACGCACAUUGCGCCCCUUGGUAUUCCAUGGGGCAUGCCUGUUCGAGCGUCAUUUGUACUCUCAAGCUCUGCUUGGUGUUGGGUGUUUGUCCUCUCCUCUGCGAUUGGACUCGCCUUAAAGCAAUUGGCAGCCAGUGUUUUGGUAUUGAAGCGCAGCACAUUUUGCGAUUCUAGCCUAAAUACUUGCGUCCACAAGCCUUUUUUAUAACGCUUGACCUCGGAUCAGGUAGGGAUACCCGCUGAACUUAAGCAUAUCAAUAAGCGGAGGAAAAGAAACCAACAGGGAUUGCCCUAGUAACGGCGAGUGAAGCGGCAACAGCUCAAAUUUGAAAUCUGGCUCUUUUAGGGUCCGAGUUGUAAUUUGCAGAGGGCGCUUUGGCGUUGGCAGCGGUCCAAGUUCUUUGGAACAGGACGUCACAGAGGGUGAGAAUCCCGUACGUGGUCGCUAGCCUUCGCCGUGUAAAGCCCCUUCGACGAGUCGAGUUGUUUGGGAAUGCAGCUCUAAAUGGGAGGUAAAUUUCUUCUAAAGCUAAAUACUGGCCAGAGACCGAUAGCGCACAAGUAGAGUGAUCGAAAGAUGAAAAGCACUUUGGAAAGAGAGUCAAAUAGCACGUGAAAUUGUUGAAAGGGAAGCGCUUGCAGCCAGACUUGCCUGUAGUUGCUUAUCUAGACUUUUGUCUAGUGCACUCUUCUGCGGGCAGGCCAGCAUCAGUUUAGGCGGUUGGAUAAAGGUCUCUAUCACGUACCUCCCUUCGGGGUUGGCCUUAUAGGGGAGACGACAUGCAGCCAGCCUGAACUGAGGUCCGCGCAUC